UAAUAUGUGGAUUGGGCUUAAUCCAAGCCGUACUCUGAUAGCUCGUCCAGAAGUCAAAGUAGAACUAUAGAAGCCUAAGGAGGUUAUGGAAUAAUGCGGUGAUGAGAUUGAGAACUAAACCCAGAAUAUCAUCGUGAUCCAAAGCCGACCAAGGAAUCCGGUUAAGAAAUAAUCUCUCUCGGGAUGGAUUUGCCGUUCGUCUCCCCAUUGUAUCCAUCGACUCAAAAGAAAGCCUUCAGUGGACAUAGCCGAUUUUGCGGAGUGCGUAGAGAAGAAUCUUAUAGAAGAAUGUUUCAAUGUUUGGCAACCGUUGCCACCCAAACAACUCAGACAUAUAAUUACGGGUUGGAAACCAAGAAGAACAAUCUUCUGGUUGCAGUUCAAGAAACUCAACGGGGGCUUGUCGCAUCAUCUGAUCAACGUUGUGUCAUUGAGGAGGCUCUGGUCAAUGUAGAGGCGUAUAACAUGGGUCUCCCUAUUGACCUGAUGAAGUUGGAUGGCACAUGGCGGCUACAGUAUACGUCGGCUCCUGAUGUUCUUAUUCUUCUAGAAGCUGCAGCCAGACUCCCUUUCUUUCAGAUUGGGCAAAUCUUCCAGAAAUUUGAAUGUCGUGACAGUUCAAAUGAAGGAAUUGUUCGAAAUGUUGUUCGCUGGAGUAUCCCAUCACUGUUAGAGGAACAUGAAGGAGCAACUCUGCUUGUAUCUGCAAAAUUUUCUGUUGUUUCUUUGCGUAAUAUCUACCUCGAAUUUGAGGAGCUAGAUAUAUUCUUUGCUGGUUUUCUGGAGUUCAAGUAUUUUCGUUUGCCCAUGUUUCAACUUCCACUGCCUUCCAUAUUCAAUAGAUGUGCUGAAUUGCCCUUAAUCAGGUGCUCUGUACAAGAAUUGUUCUUUUUAUCAGCAGUAUUGAAACUCUGAUCACCAAGUUCAUUUUAUGAUUACUUGAAAUGACAUGAGUAGCAAGAAAAUUUAAACCCAAACUUUUCAACUGGUUAUUUUGGAACUUUUUGUAAUAUAAUAUUUAUUUAGAACGUGUGAGAAACAUUGAAGGGAAGGUAAUUAGAGACAUUUUUUGCAUCUUUCAACUGUAAUGUCCUGGCCAAGGAAUUUUGAACGUCUCGUAGAGCAAUUUAUCUACAUCUUUAAAUUCUUUGGAUACACUUCAAAAGGUAUUCUAGUUAUGAGAAAUCUGAGGAACUUUAUAAUGUCUCCUUACCAAGAGAGAUUCAUGAGCAUCUUUAAAUGCUAUGGAAACACUUUUAAAGUAUUGUAAUUGUGAGAUAUGUGGAUGCAAGCUGUUUUUGGCAGAUCAGUCUCCAGAAUAUAAAGAUUAGCGAAGAGUUGCAGGCUUUAAUUGCUCCAGCAAUACUCCCACGGUCAUUUGUAAGUCUUCAGAUCUUGCAAUUUCUUCGGGGUUUUCAAGCUGGGGUUCCUGUGAGAAAUUCAGGGAG